rnacentral:rRNA from 1 species
GACGAACGCUGGCGGCGUGCUUAACACAUGCAAGUCGAACGGAAAGGCCCUGCUUUUGUGGGGUGCUCGAGUGGCGAACGGGUGAGUAACACGUGAGUAACCUGCCCUUGACUUUGGGAUAACUUCGUGAAACUGGGGCUAAUACCGGAUAGGAGCUCCUGCUGCAUGGUGGGGGUGGGAAAGUUUCGGCGGUUGGGGAUGGACUCGCGGCUUAUCAGCUUGUUGGUGGGGUAGUGGCUUACCAAGGCUUUGACGGGUAGCCGGCCUGAGAGGGUGACCGGCCACAUUGGGACUGAGAUACGGCCCAGACUCCUACGGGAGGCAGCAGUGGGGAGUAUUGCACAAUGGGCGGAAGCCUGAUGCAGCAACGCCGCGUGGGGGAUGACGGCCUUCGGGUUGUAAACCGCUUUCGCCUGUGACGAGGCGUGAGUGACGGUAAUGGGUAAAGAAGCACCGGCUAACUACGUG